rnacentral:rRNA from 1 species
UACCAGCACCCCGAGUGGUCGGGACGUUUUAUUGGGCCUAAAGCAUCCGUAGCCGGUUCUGCAAGUCUUCCGUUAAAUCCACCUGCUUAACAGAUGGGCCGCGGAAGAUACUAUAGAGCUAGGAGGCGGGGAGAGGCAAGCGGUACUCGAUGGGUAGGGGUAAAAUCCGUUGAUCCAUUGAAGACCACCAGUGGCGAAGGCGGCUUGCCAGAAUGCGCUCGACGGUGAGGGAUGAAAGCUGGGGGAGCAAACCGG